rnacentral:rRNA from 1 species
GAUGAACGCUGGCGGCGUGCCUAAUACAUGCAAGUCGAGCGAACAGAUGAGGAGCUUGCUCCUCUGACGUUAGCGGCGGACGGGUGAGUAACACGUGGAUAACCUACCUAUAAGACUGGGAUAACUUCGGGAAACCGGAGCUAAUACCGGAUAAUAUAUUGAACCGCAUGGUUCAAUAGUGAAAGACGGUUUUGCUGUCACUUAUAGAUGGAUCCGCGCCGCAUUAGCUAGUUGGUAAGGUAACGGCUUACCAAGGCAACGAUGCGUAGCCGACCUGAGAGGGUGAUCGGCCACACUGGAACUGAGACACGGUCCAGACUCCUACGGGAGGCAGCAGUAGGGAAUCUUCCGCAAUGGGCGAAAGCCUGACGGAGCAACGACGCGUGAGUGAUGAAGGUCUUCGGAUCGUAAAACUCUGUUAUUAGGGAAGAACAAAUGUGUAAGUAACUAUGCACGUCUUGACGGUACCUAAUCAGAAAGCCACGGCUAACUACGUG